rnacentral:rRNA from 1 species
GAUGAACGCUGGCGGCGUGCCUAAUACAUGCAAGUCGAGCGAACAGACGAGGAGCUUGCUCCUCUGACGUUAGCGGCGGACGGGUGAGUAACACGUGGAUAACCUACCUAUAAGACUGGGAUAACUUCGGGAAACCGGAGCUCAUAUCGGAUAAUAUAUUUAACAGCAUGGUUCAAUAGUGAAAGACGGUUUUGCUGUCACUUAUAGAUGGAUCCGCGCCGCAUUAGCUAGUUGGUAAGGUAACGGCUUACCAAGGCAACGAUGCGUAGCCGACCUGAGAGGGUGAUCGGCCACACUGGAACUGAGAAACGGUCCAGACUCCUACGGGAGGCAGCAGUAGGGAAUCUUCCGCAAAGGGCGAAAGCCUGACGGAGCAACGCCGCGUGAGUGAUGAAGGUCUUCGGAUCGUAAAACUCUGUUAUUAGGGAAGAACAAAUGUGUAAGUAACUAUGCACGUCUUGACGGUACCUAAUCAGAAAGCCACGGCUAACUACGUG